AUUGAACGCUGGCGGCAGGCUUAACACAUGCAAGUCGAGCGGAGCGAGGGUGCUUGCACCUUAGCUUAGCGGCGGACGGGUGAGUAAUGCUUAGGAAUCUGCCUAUUAGUGGGGGACAACAUUCCGAAAGGAAUGCUAAUACCGCAUACGCCCUACGAGGGAAAGCAGGGGAUCUUCGGACCUUGCGCUAAUAGAUGAGCCUAAGUCGGAUUAGAUAGUUGGUGGGGUAAGGGCCUACCAAGGCGACGAUCUGUAGCGGGUCUGAGAGGAUGAUCGGCCACACUGGGAGCGAGACACGGCGCAGACUCCUUCGGGAUGCAGCAGUGGGGAAUAGUGGCCAAUGGGGGGAAGCCUGAUCCAGCCAUGCCGCGUGUGUGAAGAAGGCCUUUUGGUUGUGAAGCACUUUAAGCGAGGAGGAGGCUACUUAGAUUAAUACGCUGGGAUAGUGGACGUUACUCGCAGAAUAAGCACCGGCUAACUCUGUGCCAGCCGCCGCCGUAACAC
rnacentral:rRNA from 1 species